CCUACGGGUGGCAGCAGUAGGGAAUUUUGCGCAAUGGGCGCAAGCCUGACGCAGCAACGCCGCGUGAACGAGACGCGCUUCGGGGUGUAAAGUUCCGUCAGUGGGGACGAAAGAUGACGGUACCCACAGUGGAAGCACCGGCUAACUCCGUGCCAGCAGCCGCGGUAAUACGGAGGGUGCAAGCGUUGUCCGGAUUCAUUGGGCGUAAAGAGUUCGUAGGCGGUAUGUUAAGUCUGGUGUUAAAUGCAGAGGCUCAACUGCUGUUCGGCACUGGAUACUGGCAAACUAGAAUGCGGUAGAGGUAAAGGGAAUUCCUGGUGUAGCGGUGAAAUGCGUAGAUAUCAGGAGGAACAUCGGUGGCGUAAGCGGUUUACUGGGCCGUAAUUGACGCUGAGGAACGAAAGCGAGGGUAGCAAAUGGGAUUAGAUACCCGAGUAGUC
rnacentral:rRNA from 1 species